rnacentral:rRNA from 1 species
UGGUGGAGUGAUUUGUCUGGUUAAUUCCGUUAACGAACGAGACCUCGACCUGCUAAAUAGUUGAUCUUACUUUCGGGUAAUUUUUAACUUCUUAGAGGGACUAUCGGAUAACUAGCCGGAGGAAGUUCGAGGCAAUAACA